UACGAAGGAUUCGAGCGUUAUCCGGAUUUAUUGGGUUUAAAGGGUGCGUAGGUGGACUAAUAAGUCAGUGGUGAAAGCCCGCAGCUUAACUGCGGAACUGCCAUUGAUACUGUUAGUCUUGAGUACAGUUGAGGUGGGCGGAAUGUGCCAUGUAGCGGUGAAAUGCUUAGAUAUGACACAGAACACCGAUUGCGAAGGCAGCUCACUAAGCUGUAACUGACACUGAGGCACGAAAGCGUGGGGAGCAAACAGG
rnacentral:rRNA from 1 species